rfam:Vitis vinifera, whole genome shotgun sequence of line PN40024, unoriented chromosome 13, chr13
GUCGUUGUAGUAUAGUGGUGAGUAUACCUGCCUGUCACGCAGGUGACCCGGGUUCGAUCCCCGGCAACGGCG